CCCUGCCUCUGGCAGACUGAUGCCCUUGCUCCACUGUCCCCAGGCCCUCAGCAUGGCCGGAGUGGUCAGCACCCUGUCCGCAUGGUUCCAGCACCGGCCCAGGGAGAGGUGACGCUUGGCUUUAGUGACAGAGCUGAGCUGAGCAAUGGCUGGGGUCAGCACCCCAGGAAUGGAUGGGUCCCUGCCCUGGCAGGUCAGCACCCUCAGCCCCAGCCCAGGAGCGGGGACUGGGAGGAUGGCGGGAGCCUAGGACCUGGGGUGUGUGGCUGGCCAAGCCUGGGGCUCCCCGGCUUCUCCAAGGUCCAGUGCGUCGACCAACACCCCACCCAAUAGGCUGGAAGUGGAAGAGGCACUCUGAUGGCGAGGGAGCCCCUGAGGACCGGCCCCAGGCACACCAGGGGCAGCUGCACCCCCAGCACCAGGCUCGGAGCUCACGCUUCAGAAACACGUGGACAACGAACAUGCGGCAUGCAGCACAGCUGUGAACAGUCACCGCGCUUAGGAGAGGCUGAUCAGACUUCUCCUUCAGGCCUGAUCUCGGCUGGAUGCCUCGGGAUCUCAGGGAAGAGCUCAGGCUUGGGCUUAACACCUAAUUUCACUCUCAACCUGUCUCUGCUCCCUUUUCUCCAUCCAGGAUCGGGGACAAUGACAACAGUGCCUCCUGGAGGAUGCUCCCGAGGACUACAGCACACAGGCCUUAGGACAGCACCUGCCUGGCCUGCGCCAGCACCACACCUCCUCGGCCAGGGAACCACGGCCCUGCCGGCCACCCUGAGCUUCCCAAGUGCCCCGGCCAGCCCUGCUGUGGUCCAUGCCUGGGUCCAGGGGGAUGCAACACAGCCAAGCGCCAGGCGAUGAAGCCAAAAGUCUGUUUAAAAAGUACUUCUGCUCCUGGCCCCAAGUGGGGAGACAAAAGAGGAGAGAGAAAAAUAAGAAAUCCAUGAGAACAAUGGAGACAGCAGACGGGGCUUAUUAGGGAGCCCUGUUGGGGAGCCGUCACUAACGCUAAGAACUUAGUGCCUGGGUAAGAACGGCGACCCUCCUCCAGGCUCUGACUGCGAGACAGUCAUGGUCCCAGACUCAGCGGUUCUCUCUGCAGGCCACGCCACCCCAGCUGGCACCUGGCACUGUAGGGGAGUGAUCAGGGCACUGCUGACAUGUGCUGGGUGAGGUCCAGGGUGAGGAAGGUCUGGCGUUUGCACAGCAGUCCAGACAGGAGCCACUGUCCUGCCUCAAAUGCCAAGGAUGGCGCCACUGCUCUUUCCUUUCCUGCCUCGCAGCCACCGGACACCAGGGGGUGCUGUGUAAGGACGCCAGAGUGUCAUUUCCAGGCCCCUGGACCAACUAUCAAAGAGGUGGUUUCCAUUUGCUCUGCCUGGAAUCCCUCUUAACAGAUUGAGGGUUUUCUUCCUCAUCACCUCUAACUGACAAACUAAAAACUGGCUGCCUUAUGCAGCACCCAUAUUCUGAUGUUCCAUGACACAGCGGGACUCAGCCCUGCUGGCCUGAACUGGGGGCCCGGUGAACAAUGUUGCACUGUCCCUCGCCCUUCCAUCCCUCUGUACCCUGAGCUCAGACCUGCUCUUACCGGCCUCUGGCUCCGCCCUGUCCUUUCCUGCAGGCUCUGCUGGUGGAUUCUGGGGUGCUUUCUCCUGCGGGGCUGUGCUGGAGAAGAUGCUGAUGGGAGCCCACUCCAGAUAGAGGGGCACGUGGUGGAACUGCGGAGAGAGGGGUGUCCACAUUGCGGUCCUCACUGCAGCCCUCGGCCCAUUUGCAGAGGAAGAGCUCGAGGGUCAGACGGGACUGUGAUUCAUCAGGGCCUAGAGCCAGGGGAGGACCACAGCCUGAGAAAAACACCCAGGCCUGUGCUGAUCUUGGGGCUCAAGGGGGAGGCCCAAUGCAUGUACACGCAUGGUGUGUUUAAAGCCUAAACGAGACACUGAAAUCAGCAGCCUCCGAAGGCAACUGUGUAGCGGCAGGACGUGUGGCAGGGAACCCUGGCAACUAUGCCCUUUGAGAAUCUUCAGAUUCCACACCACACGCAGGCCUCACAAGUUCAUUACGUUUAAGAAAACACACGGGCACAGGAGGGAGACAGGCGGGCGCUUGGCUCCAGCACUCUAGCUGUGUGGCUCGGGGCCACUGGGCCUCGGCUGCUCCACGUGCAAAGUGGGGACAGCGAUGCUGAGGGGAGGAGCAGGCGCAACAGACACCGUCAACGUAAAGACAGCCUUGUCCAGUCUGCCCUUGCCCUGUUGCUCACAACUGCAAGAGCGUUUGGGUGACUGAGUUUCUUCCCAAGGUAGCAGAGGACGAAAAGGGGGGCAACCCCAAUCAGGGUGGGAUGCAAAUCCCAAGUGUUCUGUUAAGAGAAACCCAGAGGGACGCUAGACCCAGAGGAGAAGGGGAUGUGGGAAGGGGAGGCAGAGCCUUCAGGGUGCAACAGGCCAGGGGGACCAGGAGCCACCGGGAGCAGGAAGAGGCAGGGGACAGACUGUGCCCAGAGCCUCGGGGAACCUGGCCCACAGACGCCUCGGCUUAGGACUCUGGCUGGAGAAGACAUUCGUGCUGCUGCAGGCUGCUGAGUUCAUGGUAACUGGUUAGGGCAGCCCCAGGAAACUAACCUACUGUUAUUGUUUCUCUUUCUUAUAUCCAAGAAUAAGGAAACAGGUGCAGCAACAGCGCUGCCUUUGCUCUCCUGGAGGUACAGUGCAGCGAGGGCAGCAAGGAUGAUGUCAAGGUGGCCCAGGAACGGGAAGGCUAGGAGUGAAGGCCCGAGCUGGUGGGAGCCAUGCGUGCUCUCCGAGGUGCUUGGCAGCUAGGAGGAUACUCAGGAUCACACAGAGAUGCUGGGUUCUGGCUGAGCUCCCUCAGCCCGGCAGCUCCUGUACCCCUGAGCCUGGAGCACCCCUCCAUCUUUGCCCAUCACAGGCUGUGGCUCGGC